rfam:Tupaia chinensis contig74605, whole genome shotgun sequence.
AGUAUUUAAGUUUGUUUUUAUUUAUCUUGCAGACAAAGACACAGACAAGUGCAAAAAAUAAAUCCUCUUUUACAAUCUGGAACUCACUGUUCAGUGUAAGUUUUGAUUCAUAUAAGAAGGAAUAUU